CCCCCAUGAGGAAACGUUCAGGUGUCUGACUCCCCCCGUAGGGCCCAGGUCCUGCAAAGGUAGAACCCCCUGGAAACCCUCGGGGGGAAAAGAGGACGGCUUGUCCCAGAGGGGACGGUCUGAGGGGG